AGUGCAGGCGGUUCAAUAAGUCUGAUGUGAAAGCCUUCGGCUCAACCGGAGAAUUGCAUCAGAAACUGUUGAACUUGAGUGCAGAAGAGGAGAGUGGAACUCCAUGUGUAGCGGUGGAAUGCGUAGAUAUAUGGAAGAACACCAGUGGCGAAGGCGGCUCUCUGGUCUGCAACUGACGCUGAGGCUCGAAAGCAUGGGUAGCGAACA
rnacentral:rRNA from 1 species